AGGGGUAUAGUUCUUCGGAACUAGAGACCGGCGCACGGGUGCGUAACGCGUAUGCAAUCUACCUUUCACAGAGGGAUAGCCCAGAGAAAUUUGGAUUAAUACCUCAUAGUAUAAUGAGUUGGCAUCAACACAUUAUUAAAGUCACAACGGUGAAAGAUGAGCAUGCGUCCCAUUAGCUAGAUGGUAAGGUAACGGCUUACCAUGGCUACGAUGGGUAGGGGUCCUGAGAGGGAGAUCCCCCACACUGGUACCGAGACACGGACCAGACUCCUACGGGAGGCAGCAGUGAGGAAUAUUGGACAAUGGGCGCAAGCCUGAUCCAGCCAUGCCGCGUGCAGGAUGACGGUCCUAUGGAUUGUAAACUGCUUUUGUACAGGAAGAAACACUGGUUCGUGAACCAGCUUGACGGUACUGUAAGAAUAAGGAUCGGCUAACUCCGUGCCAGCAGCCGCGGUAAUACGGAGGAUCCAAGCGUUAUCCGGAAUCAUUGGGCUUAAAGGGUCCGUAGGCGGUUUAGUAAGUCAGUGGUGAAAGCCCAUCGCUCAACGGUGGAACGGCCAUUGAUACUGCUAAACUUGAAUUAUUAGGAAGUAACUAGAAUAUGUAGUGUAGCGGUGAAAUGCUUAGAGAUUACAUGGAAUACCAAUUGCGAAGGCAGGUUACUACUAAUGGAUUGACGCUGAUGGACGAAAGCGUGGGUAGCGAACAGGAUUAGAUACCCUGGUAGUCCACGCCGUAAACGAUGGAUACUAGCUGUUGGAAGCAAUUUCAGUGGCUAAGCGAAAGUGAUAAGUAUCCCACCUGGGGAGUACGU
rnacentral:rRNA from 1 species